AGGCUCGCCUCGGCAGCACAGAUACUAAAACCGGAACGAUACGGAGAAGAUUAGCAUGGCCCCUGCACAAGGAUGACAUGCAAAUUCGGGAAUAGCUUGGCAGCAAG
ensembl:snRNA U6 U6 spliceosomal RNA